UACGUAGGGUGCGAGCGUUAAUCGGAAUUACUGGGCGUAAAGCGUGCGCAGGCGGCGCGUUAAGACAGGUGUGAAAGCCCCGAGCUUAACUUGGGAAUUGCGCUUGUGACUGGCGUGCUGGAGUGUGGCAGAGGGAGGUGGAAUUCCACGUGUAGCGGUGAAAUGCGUAGAGAUGGGGGAGAACACUCGUGGCGAAGGCGGCCAGCUAGACCAGUUCUGACACUGAGGCGCGACAGCGUGGGGAGCAAACAGG
rnacentral:rRNA from 1 species